UCCUGGCUCAGAUUGAACGCUGGCGGCAUGCCUUACACAUGCAAGUCGAACGGUAACAGGUUAAGCUGACGAGUGGCGAACGGGUGAGUAAUGUAUCGGAACGUGCCCAGUCGUGGGGGAUAACUGCUCGAAAGAGCAGCUAAUACCGCAUACGACCUGAGGGUGAAAGCGGGGGAUCGCAAGACCUCGCGCGAUUGGAGCGGCCGAUAUCAGAUUAGGUAGUUGGUGAGGUAAAGGCUCACCAAGCCGACGAUCUGUAGCUGGUCUGAGAGGACGACCAGCCACACUGGGACUGAGACACGGCCCAGACUCCUACGGGAGGCAGCAGUGGGGAAUUUUGGACAAUGGGCGCAAGCCUGAUCCAGCCGUGCCGCGUGCGGGAAGAAGGCCUUCGGGUUGUAAACCGCUUUUGUCAGGGAAGAAAAGGUUCUGGCUAAUACCUGGGACUCAUGACGGUACCUGAAGAAUAAGCACCGGCUAACUACGUGCCAGCAGCCGCGGUAAUACGUAGGGUGCAAGCGUUAAUCGGAAUUACUGGGCGUAAAGCGUGCGCAGGCGGUUAUGCAAGACAGAGGUGAAAUCCCCGGGCUCAACCUGGGAACUGCCUUUGUGACUGCAUGGCUAGAGUACGGUAGAGGGGGAUGGAAUUCCGCGUGUAGCAGUGAAAUGCGUAUAUAUGCGGAGGACCAUCGAUGGCGAGGCAACCUCUGGAGCUGUACUGACGCUCAUGCACGAAAGCGUGGGGGAGCACACCGAUUAUAUACGCUGGGAAGUCCACGCCCUGAACGAGGUCAUCUCGUCGUCGUGAGGGUUUCUUCUCAUAACGACGCUUAUCACUGAAGAGACGACUUGCCGUCCCCUCCGCAGAUCGAAGCACAGAACAGAUGGAAGUCCCCAGCGACCGUGAAUUAUCUCUUUUCUCGAUACACGCGGAACCUUCUCACUUGAAUGCAUAAACCUGCCAAUUGGAUCGGCGAAGAACAGAUCGCGUGUCUAGUCUCCACGCCUAGCCGCAAGUAGAUCAACUCUUAUUCGCUC
rnacentral:rRNA from 1 species